UACAGCGAAACUGCGAAUGGCUCAUUAUAUAAGUUAUCUUGUUUAUUUGAUAGUGCCUUACUACUUGGAUAACCGUGGUAAUUCUAGAGCUAAUACAUGCUAAAAACCCCGACUUCGGAAGGGGUGUAUUUAUUAGAUACAAAACCAAUGCCCUUCGGGGCUCUUUGGUGAUUCAUGAUAACUAUACGAAUCGCACGGCCUUGCGCCGGCGAUGGUUCAUUCAAAUUUCUUCCCUAUCAACUUUCGAUGUUUGGGUAUUGGCCAAACAUGGUUGCAACGGGUAACGGAGGGUUAGGGCUCGACCCCGGAGAAGGAGCCUGAGAAACGGCUACUACAUCCAAGGAAGGCAGCAGGCGCGCAAAUUACCCAAUCCCGACUCGGGGAGGUAGUGACAAUAAAUACUGAUACAGGGCCCUUUCGGGCCUUGUAAUCGGAAUGAGUACAAUUUAAAUCCCUUAACGAGGAACAAUUGGAGGGCAAGUCUGGUGCCAGCAGCCGCGGUAAUUCCAGCUCCAAUAGCGUAUAU
rnacentral:rRNA from 1 species